rnacentral:lncRNA from 1 species
AUUCACCCAACAACAUUUUUGAUGCAUGAUGCAUAUGGUGCUAAAUGCUGGGAAUGCAAACCUGAUGUCUAUUUCAAAUCAAUAGGAGUACUUGAAGAUUCUCCCUGCUUACAAUGUAAACAUCAUGAAGAAAGAGAUGUGUUGGACUUGUUCAUCGCUAUAUUUCCUGGCUCAGAUCCUGGCACUGAGUAGACAUCAAGAAAUAUUUAAAUGAAUGAAAGAAUGAAUGAAUGAAUGAACGAACUGUGUCCUCUUGUAGAGCUGAGGGUGUUUUACCACUACCCUAAGAGCUGACACCAGGAGGUCUUGCUGCAAAGCCAGGCACUGUAUUCCACACUGUAUUUCCAUCAUCGCUUUUAAUGAGACUUCUUUGCAAAUAUGUAUGGUAUCUUUUAAAAUACCUGAUAACCAGCCAGCAGGGGUGGUCAGCUGCUACACUGGUAGCCACAAACAGAAUCCAAGACACAGAACUUCAUACGGUGUCACAGCUUCAUUUUCCAGGCUACAGCUCCCACUGCCCACAUCAGAACCAUCUGCAGGUCCAUAAGCUGUGAGUUUCUUUGGGAGUUGGGGGAGUGUCUUUUGGAUGUUUAUAACUUAUGCAUCUUAAUAUUGAAUGUGCACUUAAUACAUGGAACUUCAUAGUACUUGAUUUUUUAUGCAAAAAUGACUUAAUUAAAAUUUCUUGAAGAAACAUCAUAGAAUGAAUAUGGAGAUCACUUAAGUACCUUCCUGCUCUGUACAUAAUGAUAAAAUUCUGGUAGCUGAUCUAAAGCUAAGAAGAA